rnacentral:misc_RNA from 1 species
GAUGAGAACGUAGCGAAAUGCGAUAAGUAAUGUGAAUUGCAGAAUUCAGUGAAUCAUCGAAUCUUUGAACGCACAUUGCGCCCCUUGGUAUUCCGAGGGGCAUGCCUGUUCGAGCGUCAUUAUAACCCCUCAAGCUCGGCUUGGUGUUGGGGCCUGCCGCACGGGCAGCCCUUAAAAUCAGUGGCGGUGCCAUCUGGCUCUAAGCGUAGUAAUUCUUCUCGCUAUAGAGUCCCGGUGGAUGCUUGCCAUUAACCCCCAAUUUCAAUGGUUGACCUCGGAUCAGGUAGGGAUACCCGCUGAACUUAAGCAUAUCAAUAAGCGGAGGA